CGCUUUUGUGGGGUGCUCGAGUGGCGAACGGGUGAGUAACACGUGAGUAACCUGCCCUUGACUUUGGGAUAACUUCAGGAAACUGGGGCUAAUACCGGAUAGGAGCUCCCGCUGCAUGGUGGGGGUUGGAAAGUUUCGGCGGUUGGGGAUGGACUCGCGGCUUAUCAGCUUGUUGGUGGGGUAGUGGCUUACCAAGGCUUUGACGGGUAGCCGGCCUGAGAGGGUGACCGGCCACAUUGGGACUGAGAUACGGCCCAG
rnacentral:rRNA from 1 species